AUCUCCUGACCUCGUGAUCUGCCCGCCUCCGCCUCCCAAAGUGCUGGGAUUACAGCCGUGAGCCACCGCGCCAGGCCUAAUUUUUGUAUUUUUAGUAGAGACAGGGUUUCACCCUGUUGGCCAGGAUGAUCUCGAUCUCUUGACCUCGUGAUCUGCCCACCUUGGCUUCCCAAAGUGUUUGGAUUACAGGCAUGAGCCACCGCGCCUGGCUUUCUUUUCUUUAGUGGUCGCUCUAGGACAGGCAUUGGUGACAUCUCGCCUCACUGCAACCUCUGCCACCUGGGUUCAGGCAAUUCUCCUGCCUUGGCCUCCUGAAAAGCUGGGAUUACAGGCGCCUGCCACCUCGCCUGGCUAAUUUUUGUAGUUUUGGUGGAGGCGGACUUUCACCAUUUUGGCCAAUCUGUUCUUGAACUCCUGACCUCGUGAUCCACCCGCCUCGGCCUCCCAAAGUGCUGGGAUUAUAGGCAAGAGUCACUACACUGGGCCGGCAAACUUUUUCUGUAAAGGGCCAGAUACAAUAAAUAUGAUGAGCUUUGUCAGCCAUACAAUGUGUGUUGCAACACCCAAAUCUGAUGCUGUAGUGCAAAAGCAACCAUACAUGAUAUGCAAUGAAUGAGGUGUAACUACAGUCCAACAAAACUGUAUUUACAAAAACAGGCAGUGGGCUGGAUUUGGCCUGUGGAAUAUGGUUUACUAACCCUUACUAUGGGGAUUACAAAAUACAUACUUUUCACAAUCAGAGUUUUUUUCUACCACUUCAAGUUAAAUGUAGAAAUUUUACCACAACAUAGCUCCCUUUACUGUCUCAUCUCGUAGUUCUCAUAUGUGUUACUAUAAAUGACAAACACCACAUACUACAAAUACUGAAACUCCACAUACUAAACGCUAAAAAUGCUUAGUUCUAGGUGAAUUUAUAAUUGUUUUAAAAUUAUAUUUAGAGAAUUCCCUCUUGAGACAAACAUCAAAUUUAUGAUUUUCUUUCAGCUGUCAUAAACAUUUUAAAGAACUUAAGAGGAGAAAAAUAAUCUAUUAUAUUUACCAUUGCUGCUGCUCUUCAUCCUUAAUGUUCCGUGUUUCCUUUGGUGUCAUUUCUCUUCUGCCUAAAGAACUUCCUUUAGGAUUUUACAGCGGGUUUUCCGGUGACAAAUUCUUAUUUUCCUUCACCUGAGAAUAUCUUUAUUUCACAUUCAUUCCUGAGCAAUAUUUUCACUGGAUAUAGGAUUUUGAGUUAAUUCCCUUAAGCCCCUUAAAAGUAUCAUUCUAGUUCCACCUGACUUUCAUAGUUUCUGACGAAAAAUGUGCAGUCAUUUGAGUCAUUUUUAUCCUGUGUGAAAAGCACUGUUUUUCUGAAUGCUUGUGGGACUUUUUUCUUUGUCUUUAACCUUCGGCAAUUUUAUUCUGAUGUGUCCAGAUAUGGAUUUUUUUUUUUUUUUUUGAGACAGAGUCUAGCUCUAUCACUCAGGCUGGAGUGCAGUUGGCUUGAUCUCGGUUCACUGCAACUUCCACCUCCCAGGUUCAAGUGAUUCUCCUGCCUCAGUCUUCCAAGUAGCUCGGACUACAGGCAUGUGCCACCACGCUGGCUAUGGACAUGGAUUUGAGUAUAUCUUGUUUGCUAUCCACCAAACUUUUUGAAUCUGUCUUUGUCUUUUGCCAGGUUUGGGAAGUUUUUGUUUUUGUUUUUGUUUUUGAGACAGAGUCUCGCUGUUGUCACCCAGGCUGGGGGAGUGCAAUGGCACAAUCUCAGCUCACUGUAACCUCCACCUCCCAGGUUGAAGCGAUUCUCCUGCCUCAGCCUCCCAAGUAGCUGAGAUUACAGGUGCCUGCCACCACGCCUGGCUAAUUUUUGUAUUUUUAGUAAAGGUGGGGUUUCACCAUGUUGGCCAGGCUAGUCUCGAACUCCUGACCUCAGGUGAAUGGUCCAGCUCAGCUUCCCAAAGUGCUGGAAUUACAGGCGUGAGCCACCACAUCCGGCCUAGUUAUUGCUAUUUUCUGUUUGGUUCUUUAUAUCUUCCAUUUCUUUGCUAAGACUUUCUUUACAUUUGUUUCAAAAGCAUUCUCCCUUUCUUCUUCCUGCAUGGUUAGACUGCUUGCAGCAUUUGCUUUAAAUUCCAACACUUCUGCCUCCUUGGGGUUGGCUGUCUUUUCCCUGGAGAGUUAUUUGUAUGCUGAGUCACCUUAAAUCAUACUCUGGAUAUUUUGAAUAUUAUGGUUUGAGGCUCUGGGUCUUGUUAAAAUCUUAAGGAGCAUGUUGAACAUGUUGAAUGGUAAUUUGUUUUAGCAGGUAAUCAGGUUCAGGCAGCAAGUUUUGACCUGCCUUUUUGGCACUGUGGUUUCAAUGUCGGUUUUAUUUUAAAAGUGUUUGCAGUGCUAUUUGGAUCAGGCCGGCUCGGGUGCCACCCAGUGGCCAGUCAGACCUGGACAGUGAUCCAUUCUGUAAUUCAGUUCACAAAGCCUUAGGUAGGCUGUUCAGGGACAGAUCUACGCUUGCACAGCUCAGAGCUUAGCCCAGGAGUUCAUAAACUUUUACGGGAUUGUUCUCUUGAUUUUCCUCCCGUGUCUCUCUGACAUUUUUUGGGCCCCUGGGGCUUCCCUCUCCAUUCCCAUAUGAUCGUGCCACUGUACUCCAGCCUGGGUGACAGAGCAAGACAUGGUCUCAAAAGCAAAAUAAAACAAAAAACAAGAUGUAUUUGCCAAUUGACUGAUAAAUGAACAGUAAGUAUAGGAUUGUCUAUCUUGCCCCAUUCCCCAAAUUAUGCAUUUCCUAUUGAGGGACAGGCAGCGGGUCACAGAAUGAAGCCUUUCUGCCUGCAGGCCUUUAUCCCACUAUUCUUCCCAUCCAAGAUGCUCGCCCUCUCUUUCAUCAGGCUAAUUCCUACUUGGGCUUCUAGUUUCAGUUUAAAGGUCAUGUCCUUGGAGGCUUUUCUGACCCCAAGCAAGAUGUAGAUCCCAGUUAAAUGCUUUCGUGUCACCCAAUACUUCUUAAAGUACUUAUCACACUUGUAAUAUAUAACCAUGUACUUAAGAACCUCAAAGGACAAGUUUCUCUUGCUCUCUUGCCCUGUACUCAAAAGUUUCACUUUUCCCUUCUCUCUCAGACGGUGACCUUGGGCCCCCUUACAUGUCUUCCAAGGCCCUGCAGUAGCCUUUUCAGAGCCCUUGCAGAGCUGAGUCAAUGAGGGUGAUGAGGGCACAUUUCCAGUUCACACCCCGGAGGUUCUAAUUCAAUAGAAAAGGGUGGAAGUGGGGUCCAGGAAUGCACAUUUUCAGAAGCUCCCCUGAUGAUUUUGAUGCUGGUGGCCCAGAAAAACUGCCUGUGAUAGGCAGCUUCUAACAUGGUUUCCAAUGAUUCCUGCUUGCUGACAGCCACACCCUGUGUAACCUUCACCCCUUGAGUAUAGACUGGACCUGGUAACUGGUAAAAGUGAGGUAAUGUCACUUCCAUGAUUAAGUAACAAAAGACUGUGACUUCAUCUUGCUGGUGUUGUCUUUCUGGCUCUUGCUGUGAUGGAGAAGGCUACCUCGGUGGCCUCUGGCCAACAGUCAAUCAGGAAACGAGGUCCCCGGUCCAACCAUCUGUGAAGUAGUGAAUCCUGCUGACAACCACCGAGCGAGCUGGGAAGCAAAUCCUCCCCAGUUGAACCCUGAGAGGACUAUGGCCCUAGCUAACACCUUGACUCCAGUCUUGUGAGAAACCUAAGCAGAAAACUAAGCUCAGCCGUGCCGAUUCCUUACCCACAGAAACAGAUCAUAUUUAUAUGUUGUUUUAAGGCAUGGUUUUAGGGUAAUCUAUUACGUAGUAAUAGAUAACUGUUGUGACCAGCCCUAAAAUCAUCCAAGAUCACUAUCCAGUAAGGAUCAGCACGUGAGUGUGCAAGUGGAUGACACGAUUCUUGGUUAGGAAGAUUCUCCUGGUGCCCUGGGCCUGGUUACACAUGGAAUCCCUAAAUCCUGAACCCAAUUUCGCAGUCAAAAACUGAUCCUCACCAGCACCCAAAUAAUCUACUGUCCUUUCCCCAUGCCUUCACAGCCAAGACCCUUCUUUCUGUGAAUCAAAGGCAAAUGGCAUUUGUCUUUGUCCCAUAACCUUGGGAUGUGAAUGGUUUCCCCUCCCUCUUUGGGUGAAGUCAGGCAGUCCCAGCCUAGGCCACAUUGGACUUGAGAGCCAUUCUUAAAGGCUAGAAUAAGGGAGGCCUGGGAAGUUAUGGCACCAUUAGCCGGGACCAGCUUACACGUAAAGGUGAUACUAAGUUUCAAAGGAAAAUUGGAGCACGGGCAGGGGUGGCAGGACAGGCUCAAAGCACCAGGAGUUAGCAGCUUUUACACACUGGCGGGCGUGGGAAGAAGGGGUUUAUUUCAGAGGCAGAGACUGAGAAUCAAGUCUUGCUUGUCUAGGGAAAAGCUGAGAAGCUAAGAGUUUCAACUCCUGAAAUGGGGCUCCCUAGACUGGUUUCGUUAAGUGACUGCCCCGCUCAAGACAACAAGCUUACCUAGCCAAUUUGUAAUCAAAAACCUAGGAUCUGGCCGGACGUCGUGGCUCACGCCUGUAAUCUCAGCACUUUGGGAGGCUCAGGCAAGCGGAUCACCUGAGAUCGGGAGUUCGAGACCAGCCUGACCAACACGGAGAAACCCUGUCUCUACUAAAAAUACAAAAAUUAGCUGGGCAUGGUGGCACAUGCCUGUAAUCCCCGCUACUCGGGAGGCUGAGGCAGGAGAAUCACUUCAACCCAGGAGACGGAGGUUACAGUGAACCGAGAUUGUGCCAUUGCACUCCAGCCUGGGCAACAAGUGCGAAACUUCGUCUCAAAAACAAAAAACAAAAAACAAAAAACAAAAAACAAUGCAACAAUGCAGGAUCCCAC
rnacentral:lncRNA from 1 species